GCCAGACUCCUACGGGAGGCAGCAGUGGGGAAUAUUGGACAAUGGGGGGAACCCUGAUCCAGCGACGCCGCGUGAGUGAAGAAGUAUUUCGGUAUGUAAAGCUCUAUCAGCAGGGAAGAAAGAAAUGACAGUACCUGACCAAGAAGCCCCGGCUAACUACGUGCCAGCAGCCGCGGUAAUACGUAGGGGGCAAGCGUUAUCCGGAAUUACUGGGUGUAAAGGGAGCGUAGACGGUGAUGCAAGUCUGGAGUGAAAGGCGGGGGCCCAACCCCCGGACUGCUCUGGAAACUGUGUAACUUGAGUGCAGGAGAGGUAAGCGGAAUUCCUAGUGUAGCGGUGAAAUGCGUAGAUAUUAGGAGGAACACCAGUGGCGAAGGCGGCUUACUGGACUGUAACUGACGUUGAGGCUCGAAAGCGUGGGGAGCAAACAGGAUUAGAUACCCCAGUACC
rnacentral:rRNA from 1 species